AUUGAACGCUGGCGGCAGGCCUAACACAUGCAAGUCGAGCGGAGCGGCGGACGGGUGAGUAAUGCCUAGGAAUCUGCCUGGUAGUAGGGGAUAACGUCCGGAAACGGGCGCUAAUACCGCAUACUAUCAGAUGAGCCUAGGUCGGAUUAGCUAGUUGGUGGGGUAAAGGCCUACCAAGGCGACGAUCCGUAACUGGUCUGAGAGGAUGAUCAGUCACACGGGAACUGAGACACGGUGCAGACUCCUACGGGAGGAAGCGGUGGGGAAUAUUGGACAAUGGGCGAAAUCCUGAACCAGCCAUGCGGCGUGUGUGAAGAAGGGCUUCGGAUUGUAAAGCACUUUAAGUUGGGAGGCGGUACCAACAGAAUAAGCACCGGCUAACUGCGAGCCAGCAGCCGCAGUAAUAC
rnacentral:rRNA from 1 species